rnacentral:rRNA from 1 species
GAUGAACGCUGGCGGCGUGCCUAAUACAUGCAAGUCGAGCGGACAGAUGAGGAGCUUGCUCCUCUGACGUUAGCGGCGGACGGGUGAGUAACACGUGGAUAACCUACCUAUAAGACUGGGAUAACUUCGGGAAACCGGAGCUAAUACCGGAUAAUAUAUUGAACCGCAUGGUUCAAUAGUGAAAGACGGUUUUGCUGUCACUUAUAGAUGGAUCCGCGCCGCAUUAGCUAGUUGGUAAGGUAACGGCUUACCAAGGCAACGAUGCGUAGCCGACCUGAGAGGGGGAUCGGCCACACUGGAACUGGGACACGGUCCAGACUCCUACGGGAGGCAGCAGUAGGGAAUCUUCCGCAAUGGGCGAAAGCCUGACGGAGCAACGCCGCGUGAGUGAUCAAGGUCUUCGGAUCGUAAAACUCUGUUAUUAGGGAAGAACAAAUGCGUAAGUAACUAUGCACGUCUUGACGGUACCUAAUCAGAAAGCCACGGCUAACUACGUG